GAUGAACGCUGGCGGCGUGCCUAACACAUGCAAGUCGAGCGAAAGCACGGGAAGCUUUCUCUCUUGCUGUUAGCGGCGGACGGGUGGGUAAGACGUGGAUAACCUACCUCUUAGUCUGGGGUGAUAUCGGGGAAACGGUGCUGCUACUAGCUCAUACUUUGUACCGGUUGGUUCAGAAGUGCAUGACGGCUUUCGCGUCACUUUUAGCUGGUUCCGCGCUGGAUUAGCUAGUUGGUAAGGUAACGGCCUACCAAGGCAACGAUGCGUAGCCGAUCUGAGAGGGUGAUCGGCCACACUGGAACUGAGACACGGUCCAGACUCCUACGGGAGGCAGCAGUGGGGAAUCUUCGACAAUGGGCGAAAGCCUGACGGAGCAACGCCGCGUGAGUGAUGAAGGUCUUCGGAUCGUAAAACUCUGUUAUUAGGGAAGAACAUAUGUGUAUGUAACUGUGGACAUCCUGACGGUACCUAAACAGAAAGCCACGGCUAACUACGUG
rnacentral:rRNA from 1 species